CCGGUUCGUUCACAGGGAUGGAGACGGAGACGGAGCAGUCGGUUUGGUCGGUGGUGACAGAGCAGGUGGAGGAGCAGCUGGAGCUCUCGGCGUCGAACUCGGAGACGUGGCAGUACUCACGGACAGCACAGGGACGCUCAUUAGCUCUGGAUGCUACUAACCUCGACGUUGUGAAGGUACGAUGAUGGCUUGGGAACCACAGGGAUGAUCAUGAUUCUGAUUCUGUAUGGGAGCUCAUACAGGGAACUGCGGGAGGGGAGGUUGAUGCAGUAUCUCUGCACCCCGCUGCUGACUUGAGCAGGCUGUGGACAGUAAGAUGGAGUUGAGAAGGGAGAUGGGUGCGAACUGAAGACCAAUAAAGACAACGAAACAAAGAAUGAAGAAGACAGAUAAGAGAUUUUUUUUGUUCCUUCAAACUGCCUACCGCCCAAUUCCUGUUGUUGACCCUGUAGCGAACUUCACUCUCCACACAUUGAUAAGAAAUCUGGCUCCAGCUGAGCCACAGGUUGGAGUCGGAUCCAUUCUGGACGGUCACGUUGGUUGGUGGAUUUAACUUGACUGGAGACGACACAGACCAUUCAAUGAUACAGAAUAUACAAUGUGAUGACAAGAUGACACCGUGGAGGUGGAAGAGGAGCAGGGGGUAGACCGGUCCGGUUCGUUCACAGGGAUGGAGACGGAGCAGUCGGUUUGUUCGGUAGUGACAGAGCAGGUGGAGGAGCAGCCGGAGCUCU